rfam:Macrostomum lignano uti_cns_0045632, whole genome shotgun sequence.
AAAACGGCCCUUUUAAGGGCCACCCAAGCAAGUUGCAACUCGUUGG